GACCGUGCGAAGGUAGCAUAAUCAUUAGUUUUUUAAUUGGAGGCUAGAAUGAAUGGUUGGACAAGAAAUAAUCUGUCUUAAUUCAAUAUAUUGAAUUUAACUUUUAAGUGAAAAGGCUUAAAUAAUUUGAAGGGACGAUAAGACCCUAUAAAACUUUAUAUUUAUAAAUGAUAGUUAAUUUUAUUUUAAAAUAUUAUUUUAAAAUAUUUGGUUGGGGUGACAAGGAUAAAAUAAAAAAUAAUUGUCUUUUUUUUUAUUUACAGUAAUAUUUGGUUUAAUGAUCCUAAAAAGGAUUAGAAGAUUAAGUUACUUUAGGGAUAACAGCGUAAUUUUCUUUGAAAGUUCUUAUUGACAAGAAAGUUUGCGACCUCGAUGUUGAAUUAAAAGUUCUUUAUAGAGUAGAAACUAUAAUAGAAGGUCUGUUCGACCUUUAAAAUUUUACAUGAUUUGAGUUCAGACCGGUGUAAGCCAGGUUGGUUUCUAUCU
rnacentral:rRNA from 1 species